UGGACUGGUCCAGCCCCAAGAUCUGCCGAUCGCUGUCAGGUCGAUCCUCGUUCUUCAGCGAUGCUCCUGCGGGAGAUUCCGCCGCCGCCGCCGCUCUCAGUCCAUUGCGCAACUGCGGCGUCGCCGCCUCCUCACCCCCUCCAGACAACAUUAAGUUCUGAAGUAGACCUACCCUCGCCGUCCCCUUCCCCAGAGCAUUUGCUGGAUUCACAUAGGUGAUGGAGGCAAGGCUUUGCUAGAGGCAGAUGAAUGCCAAAAUAAGCUGUACUCUUUGGGAAGCUCAGGUCUGUACAUGAUACCGGAUUACCAUUGUUGUAUAUCCGUCUUUCAUAGUUGUUUUGCAAAGUGCUUGAAUUUUAGGGAACUCAAGAGUACAUAUUUAGUCCUCACUAGGUGGACUUAGAGCUUGCAAAGGCAGAAUCAGUCAAAGUUGGAUGAUGAAGAGCUUAGAAACAAGUUGUGACUUAAGGUUGCAAAGCUGGGGAACACUUAUAGCUAAGUUUGCUUCUGUGAAUCCCUUAUAGCUAAGUUCCAUUUAGUUGUGUAAGCAUAUGUCUGUCGUAUCCUUUCCAGAAGAGAAGUGCUUCCAUGAACAAUGAAACUUGUCCAUUAUAUUGAGGUUCCGUUGAGUUCUACAACCUGUGUUCAAAGGAAUGUUUUGGAGACCUUAUCUGUGCCCAAAAGAUCACCAUCCUGUUCACUAGUUGUUGACACUAUGAAGUACUCACAGUGAUUCAAUAUUGUUAUGUAAUUCACGAAUCUGAAUGUGUUGUGUUGUCGCAUUCUAGUGGUACGUAUAUCAGUAAAGAAUUGAAAGCUUCGAAUAUUCAUUUCAUUUCAAUACUCAUUUCAUUCCUGUUA